UUUAUUCUUUCCUGCAAAAAUAAACUUUGAAACUUUGAAACUUUGAAGACGACAACGGACCUGCGAGGGCGCUAGCAAUGCAGGAGAGGGCACAAGCCAUGAAGCUGUGGCGCAAGCGUGCAUGGAGCACCUUGAACACAUCAGAGCACACAAGGGGGUCAUCAAAAAAGAUAACAUUGGUUUCUUCGCUCUACGUACCGAUGCACCCCUCAGAGAGCUACCAGUGCACAUUGCACAAGAUGUAAUGCAUGCAGUAGAACUUAUGCUGUAUGAAGCAGAGGCAAAAUUGCAUCAGAGCAGUGAAGCAAAUUGAAGUGUUUAUAUAUAUAAAGUCAAUGACACCCACCUUUUUUUAUCUUGUGUUCACUUUUCUAGUCCUAACUUAAAGGGGUCAUGACUGGUCACUCAACAAUUGACGGUUGUCAGCAAAAAACAAAACUACAGAGUAAAAUGUGCUAGUACACGUGUGAAAAGGGGCCUUAAGAGAUUAUUUUAGUCAAAAAUAUGCCGUAGAAGUGCUCGGCUCCUAAAACUCAACCUACCACAAGUGACCGCCAUUUUGUCAUGGCGUGCGCGACGUCACAAGCCGAAGGAGCAGUGGCAAAUGGUAUACGCAUUGCACAUUCACGAAAUUAUUUGCUGCAAGUACCAACGCUACAUUGCUGACACAGUAGCCAUGUUUCGACCCCUGGAAGUCAUUUAGCUUUAGUGGAGAGUUCAACAAUGCAAAAAAAUUUGAUUGCAAACGCAGCUGAUGACAAAACACGACCGUCUGCCAGAAUGCACACUGUGCAGCAGCUUGUCGAGCAAGCGGUUCGUGAUGUCAUGGAUAGUGAGUGCAUCAGUAUUGCCCAACUGUCAGGCGACUAGCUCGUUUAUAAAAAUAUGCGAUUAAAAAUUAGCAGCUUGACCAAAUCGCUCGAAUUUCACCAGCUUGUAUGUGAACAUACAAGAAUCAGCUCAUGCAACACACAUUAUGGUUGAAAAUUGGGUGUCAUGACCCCUUUAAGGCCACUUAUUUCUGUGAUAAUUAUAGCGAUAACCGUGCAAUAACUCAAAUAUUUUAACAUGAAUUAUUUAUUUUUGUGUUUUCAUGGUUAUAUUUGGACAUGACAGUUUUCCCUGUAAUGUAUCUGUUGUGUCACGGGUGAUUUUUUUCUUCUUUGUUUAGCUUAAGAAGAUGCUAUGUACAUAAGUUCUGUAAGCAAUAAAAUGCAUUUACAACCCA